UACCAGCUCUAACUCACCCACCUCAAGAAGUGCCAUGCCCUCGGCAGAAUAUCCCAGGCCCACCUCAAGACUCUCUGGGCCUACCUCAAGAUGUGCCAGGGCUGCCUCAAAGCAUAUUACAUCCACAAGAUGUGGCAUACCUGCAAGACAUGCCACGGUCACCAGGAGAUGUGCCACAGUCACCAAGUGAUGUUUCACCGUCACCAGAUGCACCACAGUCA
rnacentral:lncRNA from 1 species